GACCAUUCAUUUAGGAUAUCUAAAGUAGUGUGCCUAUAUCCCAUAUGCUAAUCUAUUCUUUUACUUUACAGGCAAUAUGUGUUGCAGACUUGGUAAUUGUGAUGGAUAAAGGACAUGUGAAGUGGGUGGAUAAUCAAGCUGAGUUUUCUUGUCCUUCUAAUGUAGCGUUCUCAACAAUCGAUGAACUUAGCACUUGUUCUGAAGUUCAGUGGCAGGUUAAAAGAUCAAAUAUUUCUAGUGAGAUCCAACAGAAAGUUUCAGAGGGUGAUUUUAUAUUUAGUCCUGGUAGAAAUCAAGACACUGAUGAAUCGGAGGCUUGGAAAGAAGGAAAAGUCGAAUGGCGGGCACUAUAUACAUAUCAAAGGAGUUGCAGUUACAAAAUAUAAACGAUACAUCUUUGGGGACUCACGAUGGAACAUCAGUCCUGAUUGAUUUGCAUCUUCUGUGUAUUGCAGUAACGCAGAAUAUGAUAACAGUUAAACAAUAACAUUUUGAUUGUUUAUUUCAAGUAGGAUAAUCAAAUUAUGAUGGUUUUGAUAUUUUUA